rnacentral:rRNA from 1 species
UACGAAGGGUGCUAGCGUUGUUCGGAAUUACUGGGCGUAAAGGGCUCGUAGGCGGUUUGUCGCGUCGGGAGUGAAAUCCACUGGCUUAACUGGUGGCUUGCUUUCGAUACGGGCAGACUGGAGGUAUGCAGGGGAGAACGGAAUUCCUGGUGUAGCGGUGAAAUGCGCAGAUAUCAGGAGGAACACCGGUGGCGAAGGCGGUUCUCUGGGCAUGUCCUGACGCUGAGACGCGAAAGCGUGGGGAGCGAACAGG